UACGUAGGCAGCAAGCGUUGUUCGGAGUUACUGAGCGUAAAGGGUGUGUAGGCGGUUCCUUAAGUUUGCUGUGAAAUCUCCCGGCUUAACCGGGAGGGUGCGGUGAAUACUGAGAGACUAGAGUACGGGAGAGGAAAGUGGAAUUCCUGGUGUAGCGGUGAAAUGCGCAGAUAUCGGGAAGAACACCUAUGGCGAAGGCAGCUCUCUGGGACGGUACUGACGCUGAGACGCGAAAGCGUGGGGAGCAAACAGG
rnacentral:rRNA from 1 species